rnacentral:rRNA from 1 species
GAUGAACGCUAGCGGCAGGCCUAAUACAUGCAAGUCGAACGGUGCCCUCGGGCAUAGUGGCGAACGGGUGCGUAACGCGUAAGUAACCUGCCCUUUACUGGGGGAUAGCCCGGCGAAAGCUGGGGUAAGCCCGCAUGGUCCGAUUAGCUGGCAUCAGCUGCUCGGUAAACAUUGAUGGGUAAAGGAGGGACUUGCGUCUGAUUAGCUAGUUGGCGGGGUAGUGGCCCACCAAGGCGAUGAUCAGUAGGGGCUCUGAGAGGAGCGGCCCCCACACUGGCACUGAGGUACGGGCCAGACUCCUACGGGAGGCAGCAGUAGGGAAUAUUGGACAAUGGGCGCAAGCCUGAUCCAGCCAUGCCGCGUGAGUGAUGAAGGCCUUAGGGUUGUAAAGCUCUUUCACCGAUGGAGAUAAUGACGGUAGUCGGAGAAGAAGCCCCGGCUAACUCUGUGCCAGCCGCCGCGGUAA